rnacentral:rRNA from 1 species
CCUACGGGAGGCUGCAGUGGGGAAUAUUGGACAAUGGGCGAAAGCCUGAUCCAGCCAUGCCGCGUGUGUGAAGAAGGCCUUCGGGUUGUAAAGCACUUUCAGUGGGGAAGAAAGCCUUGGGGCUAAUACCCUCGAGGAAGGACAUCACCCACAGAAGAAGCACCGGCUAACUCCGUGCCAGCAGCCGCGGUAAUACGGAGGGUGCGAGCGUUAAUCGGAAUUACUGGGCGUAAAGCGCGCGUAGGCGGUCUGAUAAGCCGGUUGUGAAAGCCCCGGGCUCAACCUGGGAACGGCAUCCGGAACUGUCCGGCUAGAGUGCAGGAGAGGAAGGUAGAAUUCCCGGUGUAGCGGUGAAAUGCGUAGAGAUCGGGAGGAAUACCAGUGGCGAAGGCGGCCUUCUGGACUGACACUGACGCUGAGGUGCGAAAGCGUGGGUAGCAAACAGGAUUACAUACCCCUGUAGUC